UGGAGCUGAGGUAGUAGAUUGAAUAGUUGUGGGGUUUUGUAACCUCUUUUUUAAAUAACUAUACAAUCUACUGUCUUUCCCAA
rfam:Oreochromis niloticus linkage group LG20, whole genome shotgun sequence.